GGCUAUACCCAGAUGUUGAGAAGUUUGGACGCUCUCAACCAAAGCUUCGGCGCCUUGAGAGGGGCCUGCGAGCUAUCAGCUUGUUGGUGGGGUAAUGGCCUACCAAGGCUAAGACGGCUAGGGGGCGUAAGAGCGCGACCCCCCCACAAUGGGACUGAGACACGGCCCAU
rnacentral:rRNA from 1 species